GAUGAACGCUAGCGGGAGGCCUAACACAUGCAAGCCGAGCGGUAUUGUUUCUUCGGAAAUGAGAGAGCGGCGUACGGGUGCGUAACACGUAUGCAACCUGCCUUUAUCUGGGGGAUAGCCUUUCGAAAGGAAGAUUAAUACUCCAUAAUAUAUUGAACGGCAUCGUUUAAUAUUGAAAGCUCCGGCGGAUAGAGAUGGGCACGCGCAAGAUUAGCUAGUUGGUGAGGUAACGGCUCACCAAGGCGAUGAUCUUUAGGGGGCCUGAGAGGGUGAUCCCCCACACUGGUACUGAGACAAGGACCAGACGCCUACGGGAGGCAGCAGUGAGGAAUAUUGGUCAAUGGGUGCAAGCUUUAACCAGCCACCCCGCGUGAAGGACGACUGCCCUAUGGGUUGUAAACUUCUUUUGUAUAGGGGUAAACCUACCCUCGUGAGGGUAGCUGAAGGUACUAUACGAAUAAGCACCGGCUAACUCCGUGCCAGCAGCCGCCGUAA
rnacentral:rRNA from 1 species